GAAAUUGUGGCUCAGCGGUAGAGCGCUCGCCUAGCAUAUGCGAGGCCCUGAGUUUGAUCCUCAGCACCA
rnacentral:tRNA from 1 species